CACCUUAAAAGUAUUAGCUAGAUCUGUCUUUGACUGGUUUGACUUGGCAUAAUAAGUAUUUUGCUAAGGACAUCUUCGGAUGGCCAGGACUUGACUUUUGUCUGCUUACUAAACCUUACUUUAAGUGCAUCUCUGGUGUUACUUAUAGUAUUACUUUGACAUAUGGCCUCAAAUCAGGUAGGACUACCCGCUGAACUUAA
rnacentral:misc_RNA from 1 species